GCAGUCGAACGAUGAUGCCCAGCUUGCUGGGUUGAUUAGUGGCGAACGGGUGAGUAACACGUGAGUAACCUGCCCCUGACUCUGGGAUAAGCGUUGGAAACGACGUCUAAUACUGGAUAUGAUCGCCGGCCGCAUGGUCUGGUGGUGGAAAGAUUUUUUGGUUGGGGAUGGACUCGCGGCCUAUCAGCUUGUUGGUGAGGUAAUGGCUCACCAAGGCGACGACGGGUAGCCGGCCUGAGAGGGUGACCGGCCACACUGGGACUGAGACACGGCCCAGACUCCUACGGGAGGCAGCAGUGGGGAAUAUUGCACAAUGGGCGAAAGCCUGAUGCAGCAACGCCGCGUGAGGGAUGACGGCCUUCGGGUUGUAAACCUCUUUUAGUAGGGAAGAAGCGAAAGUGACGGUACCUGCAGAAAAAGCACCGGCUAACUACGUGCCAGCAGCCGCGGUAAUACGUAGGGUGCAAGCGUUGUCCGGAAUUAUUGGGCGUAAAGAGCUCGUAGGCGGUUUGUCGCGUCUGCUGUGAAAUCCCGAGGCUCAACCUCGGGCUUGCAGUGGGUACGGGCAGACUAGAGUGCGGUAGGGGAGAUUGGAAUUCCUGGUGUAGCGGUGGAAUGCGCAGAUAUCANGAGGAACACCGAUGGCGAAGGCAGAUCUCUGGGCCGUAACUGACGCUGAGGAGCGAAAGCAUGGGGAGCGAACAGGAUUAGAUACCCUGGUAGUCCAUGCCCGUAACGUUGGGCGCUAGAUG
rnacentral:rRNA from 1 species